rnacentral:rRNA from 1 species
UACAGGGGGUGCAAACGUUGCUCGGAAUUAUUGGGCGUAAAGAGCGCGCAGGCGGUCGUCCAAGUCGCGUGUGAAAGCCCCCGGCUCAACUGGGGAGGGUCACGCGAUACUGGUCGACUCGAAGGCAGGAGAGGGAUGCGGAAUUCCAGGUGUAGCGGUGAAAUGCGUAGAUAUCUGGAGGAACACCGGUGGCGAAGGCGGCAUCCUGGACCGACACUGACGCUGAGGAGCGAAAGCCAGGGGAGCAAACGGG